rnacentral:lncRNA from 1 species
GACCAUCUCCUCACUUCACCUUCUUUCUAGAAACUCUAGAGCCUGUCGCCCCCAAAUCCUCCGCCAUCUCCACCGAUGGCGCAGCCUCAAUCCUCCCCAAAAUUACACCAUAGAAUCCCCUUCAUCCCCUCAUACUAAAUCCACAACCUGUUUCUUUGAAAUCGUCAUUGAGCUCUUCGAAUUUCAGAUCGAAGAUCGGAGUCCCAAACCCUAAUCUCUCCAAACACUGCUAUAUUUUUAACACAUUAUCGCUUUCACCCCUCCUUGCCAAAUCCAUGAGCUAUUUCCCCAAAAUCCUCUUCAAACCAAUCCAAAACCGAAUCUGAAAAUCAAAAAAAAAAAAGCAGAACACUAGUUCUUGCAUGGACGCUCCUCCGUGAAUUUCUUCCACUCGAUAGCUCGAAACUCACACCAAAUAGAUUGUCCUUGACAAGAACAAUCAUUUGGGGUCAGUCUUGAGUUGUAUCAAAGCCCAAGCACGAGGUCCAUUUCAGAGUAUUUCACGUUUCUUGAUAGGUACAGUUUCGUCUUUGUUUUUCUUUUAAAUAUUCUAAUUCGUGUUUGUGAAAACGGAAAAAGAAAAGAAAACAGUUUGUUGUUUAUAUAAAUAUAUAUAUAUAUAUAUAUAUAUAUAUUAGAUUACUGCAUCAUUUAGUUUUUAUUCUUUUUUCAUUUUUAUUCUAUUUUCUUUUGUUUUAUUAGCCAUAAGUUAGUUGGUAAAAUUGAUUUGUUUCAGAUUCGUGACUGUGUGUUGUUUUCUGCCUUUCGUUUUAUGUUUUUCCUUUUGAAAUUGUUUUCUGUUUAGUUGCAUGAUAGGGCAUAUUAGUUUAAUAUUUGGUUGAAUUAGUAAUAUUAGUCUAGCAGCAGAUAAUUUUUGUUUAUUCAUCUUUUUGCCCUUGUUCCUUUUCUUUUGAUUUUUCAUUAAAAAAAAGAGAAAAGGGUCCAGAACCCCUUGUGAGUUGUUUGUUUAGGUUUGGAAGGUGGGCUUGCUAGUACAACAAGCCCAAAAGAUUGUUAGAAGUCUUCUAAUGCAGAAACCCAAAGAAGCAAGGUGCAUAUUAGCUCAAAGGUCCAUUUGUGGUUAGAAGUAAUUAGUAAGCCUUUAAGGGGUAGUUUAGGGAAAUUGGAUAGAGGGAAUCUUUCCUAACUAUUUGGGAAGGUUCUAGGAAGGUGGGGAUUGGGUGAAUUACCGAAUAGUUUAGGAGAACAGGGUCCAAAAUGAAAAGAUGAAAAUUGGGGAAAGGGUAAAUAGUGAAGGAGUGAAGUCAAGUUUGCUGCACUAAAGGCUCGCUAUAAAAGGCUCAUUUCCUGCAUUUUUUAGGAAGAGAUUAGAGGUCUAAAAAUAUAGAAAUAGCUGAAAGAUUUCUAACCUCAUUUUCUCUACAUUAAACUUCUGAAAAGGCCUUUGAUACUCUAGAAAUACAGGAAAAAAAAUCCUACAUCCUUUGGUUGAAUUGGUCUUGGUUGUGCUCUUCAAUUUCGAUUGCUAGUCAGAUUUUAAAAGCUCCGAAAAGUUUCUGUGCUUCUGGGUUUUAAAAAUGACCUAAAGUGAGCUGAAAAUUGUUAUUGAGGUGUUGAUCUAUUACUGUUGCUGGAAUCCUCAUUCUCCUUAUUUUAUUUCGAUUUUCAGGUAUGCUUUGGGCCCUGAAUGACAUGUUGAAAUGUAAAUAUGUUGUCCAACAUGGAAAUCUAAUAACAAAUGUUGCUUGUAGAAUCUUUAGUCUUCUGUUUCUUUAAGAUCCUUCAGCCUGGUGUGAAAAUUUAAUUUCUUUAUGCUCAUGUAUAUCACUAAUUUGGAUUUUGUGUAUAAGUUGGAUCAGUACUAUAGUUUAGUAGGUUGGUUGUGAAUGAAUUAAACCUUUAUUUGUUAGACAUGUAGAAUGUUUGAUUUCUUAUAGCAUGGGUCCAAGUUAGAUUGAACAUUUCUCUUUUGGUUUUGUUUAAGCCUGUCAAAAUCAG